CAGGAAUAGUUGAAACUGUGAUUCACUGCUACAGUUCUCUGUGCUGUCCUGGUUGCUACAAGCUGAAGUCUGCUCAGUUCUGGGGACGAAAGAGACAAGGAAACUGAGGCACAGAGCGGUCAGUUGAGUAUCUGAGACCCAGACUCGGACAAUCCAUAUGUCACCUUCCCCUGACCAUGGUGACUGGUGGGGUGGUCACAUGGGUAACCAGCACCCAGAAGUGCGAUGGGACAGCGUCAAAGCUCAUGCUUCAGCUCUGAGCCAG
rnacentral:lncRNA from 10 species